rnacentral:rRNA from 1 species
AUGAACGCUAGCUACAGGCUUAACACAUGCAAGUCGAGGGGCAGCAUGGUCUUAGCUUGCUAAGGCCGAUGGCGACCGGCGCACGGGUGAGUAACACGUAUCCAACCUGCCGUCUACUCUUGGACAGCCUUCUGAAAGGAAGAUUAAUACAAGAUGGCAUCAUGAGUCCGCAUGUUCACAUGAUUAAAGGUAUUCCGGUAGACGAUGGGGAUGCGUUCCAUUAGAUAGUAGGCGGGGUAACGGCCCACCUAGUCUUCGAUGGAUAGGGGUUCUGAGAGGAAGGUCCCCCACAUUGGAACUGAGACACGGUCCAAACUCCUACGGGAGGCAGCAGUGAGGAAUAUUGGUCAAUGGGCGAGAGCCUGAACCAGCCAAGUAGCGUGAAGGAUGACUGCCCUAUGGGUUGUAAACUUCUUUUAUAAAGGAAUAAAGUCGGGUAUGGAUACCCGUUUGCAUGUACUUUAUGAAUAAGGAUCGGCUAACUCCGUGCCAGCAGCCGCGGUAAUACGGAGGAUCCGAGCGUUAUCCGGAUUUAUUGGGUUUAAAGGGAGCGUAGAUGGAUGUUUAAGUCAGUUGUGAAAGUUUGCGGCUCAACCGUAAAAUUGCAGUUGAUACUGGAUAUCUUGAGUGCAGUGAGGGCAGGCGGAAUUCGUGGUGUAGCGGUGAAAUGCUUAGAUAACACGAAGAACUCCGAUUGCGAAGGCAGCCUGCUAAGCUGCAACUGACAUUGAGGCUCGAAAGUGUGGGUAUCAAACAGGAUUAGAUACCCUGGUAGUCCACACGGUAAACGAUGAAUACUCGCUGUUUGCGAUAUACUGCAAGCGGCCAAGCGAAAGCGUUAAGUAUUCCACCUGGGGAGUACGCCGGCAACGGUGAAACUCAAAGGAAUUGACGGGGGCCCGCACAAGCGGAGGAACAUGUGGUUUAAUUCGAUGAUACGCGAGGAACCUUACCCGGGCUUAAAUUGCAGAUGAAUUACGGUGAAAGCCGUAAGCCGCAAGGCAUCUGUGAAGGUGCUGCAUGGUUGUCGUCAGCUCGUGCCGUGAGGUGUCGGCUUAAGUGCCAUAACGAGCGCAACCCUUGUUGUCAGUUACUAACAGGUUCCGCUGAGGACUCUGACAAGACUGCCAUCGUAAGAUGUGAGGAAGGUGGGGAUGACGUCAAAUCAGCACGGCCCUUACGUCCGGGGCUACACACGUGUUACAAUGGGGGGUACAGAGGGCCGCUACCACGCGAGUGGAUGCCAAUCCCCAAAACCUCUCUCAGUUCGGACUGGAGUCUGCAACCCGACUCCACGAAGCUGGAUUCGCUAGUAAUCGCGCAUCAGCCACGGCGCGGUGAAUACGUUCCCGGGCCUUGUACACACCGCCCGUCAAGCCAUGGGAGCCGGGGGUACCUGAAGUGCGUAACCGCGAGGAGCGCCCUAGGGUAAAAC